CCCUUAGAUGUUCUGGGCCGCACGCGCGCUACACUGACGAUGGCAACGAGUUUUUCCUUCGCCGAAAGGUGUGGGUAAUCUUUUGAAACAUCGUCGUGCUGGGGAUAGAUCAUUGCACUUUUUGAUCUUGAACGAGGAAUUCCUAGUAAGCGCGAGUCAUCAGCUCGCGUUGAUUACGUCCCUGCCCUUUGUACACACCGCCCGUCGCUACUACCGAUUGAAUGGUUUAGUGAGGACUCCUGAUUGGCGCCGCCGCCCCGGCAACGGAGCAGCGGACUGCCGAAAAGUUGUUCAAACUUGAUCAUUUAGAGGAAGUAAAAGUCGUAACA
rnacentral:rRNA from 1 species